GAUCAUGGCUCAGGACGAACGCUGGAGGCGCGCCUAACACAUGCAAGUCGAACGAGAGAUGAGGAGCUUGCUCUUCAAAUCGAGUGGCGAACGGGUGAGUAACGCGUGAGGAACCUGCCUCAAAGAGGGGGACAACAGUUGGAAACGACUGCUAAUACCGCAUAAGCCCACGGCUCGGCAUCGAGCAGAGGAAAGGAGCAAUCCGCUUUGAGAUGGCCUCGCGUCCGAUUAG
rnacentral:rRNA from 1 species